GACGAACGCUGGCGGCGUGCUUAACACAUGCAAGUCGAACGGUGAAGCGCCUUCCUUUUUGGUGGGUGUGGAUGAGUGGCGAACGGGUGAGUAACACGUGAGUAACCUGCCCCCUUCUUCUGGAUAACCGCAUGAAAGUGUGGCUAAUACGGGAUAUUCUGGGUCUGUCGCAUGAUGGGUCUGGGAAAGAUAUUGUUUCGGUGGGGGAUGGGCUCGCGGCCUAUCAGCUUGUUGGUGGGGUGAUGGCCUACCAAGGCGGUGACGGGUAGCCGGCCUGAGAGGGUGGACGGUCACACUGGGACUGAGACACGGCCCAGCCUCCUACGGGAGGCAGCAGUGGGGAAUAUUGCACAAUGGGCGCAAGCCUGAUGCAGCGCCGCCGCGUGAGGGAUGGAGGCCUUCGGGUUGUGAACCUCUUUCGCCAGUGAAGCAGGCCUGCCUCGUUUGUGGGUGGGUUGACGGUAGCUGGAUAAGAAGCGCCGGCUAACUACGUG
rnacentral:rRNA from 1 species